rnacentral:rRNA from 1 species
UACGUAGGGCGCAAGCGUUGUCCGGAAUUAUUGGGCGUAAAGAGCUCGUAGGCGGCCAGUUGCGUCUGCUGUGAAAUCCCGGGGCUCAACCCCGGGCGUGCAGUGGAUACGGGCUGGCUAGAGGCAGGCAGGGGAGAACGGAAUUCCCGGUGUAGCGGUGAAAUGCGCAGAUAUCGGGAGGAACACCGGUGGCGAAGGCGGUUCUCUGGGCCUGUACUGACGCUGAGGAGCGAAAGCGUGAGGAGCGAACAGG